rnacentral:lncRNA from 1 species
UGCCUGUUUGGGUGUGUCUGGGCUGUGUUCCUCUUGUCGGGAGUGCUGAGGAGCCCAGCACAGCAGGUGUCCAUACAGAGGCCUGAUGCUGUGUGAUGCUGAGCGGGAGGUACCGAUUCAGCCUGAACACAGAGCCUGCAUGCUCUGCUUCACAGUGCAGAGAUGAGCUCAGCAACAGUCUUACAUCUGGGCUGGAUUUGUGCCGUGCCCCAACAGAGCCCAGACAGAAUUCACUCUGGGGUUGAUAGCCCUAACUCCAUCUCAAAGUGUCUGAAAUCCACCUGGACUUUGCUACCUGAGAGCACAGCAUAGGGAUAAUUGGGAAAGCUCUACGAGAUGCAUUCAUGUUCUGUGCUACAUGAAGGUUUCACCACUCCUGACAUUCAUCCUACCCAGUUAGCACACCAUUGGAUAUCUGUUUGGGCUUUUCACCUGUGGAACACAACCAGCUGAAGAUUUCCGUAGCAACAGAAUUCCAUCUAGAGUGUUCAAAUGGAAGCACAGAAGCAUUGGAAGCUGAAAGUUCCUCCUGAUGUUGCAUUCCUGUCCAGGUCUUUCAACAACUGGAACUCUAUUGUCUGGAAGCUCCUACCCUGGUGGCUCAGACAGGGCUUGAUGAUGCUGUGGAGAAGGCACUAUCUGUUGAAGGGAGCCAAGUGUGGCACUUUAUUGCGCUGGGAGUCAUGAUUGCUCAGCUGUGAGAUUGCUUCCUGGAAAUCUGUAGUGGAGAAUCAAGCACAGUGCAGCAGCAGCCACAUAUGAAUGUGGUGAGUGAAUAGCUGUGUUUGUGCCUAGGGAAUAGCUGAGGAACUUGGGGAACAGUGGUGUCCUUUUGAGCAUGACUGGCCAGUUGAGGACAUACCAGUUAAAUUGC